CACCGACGGGAAGCCGGCGAUGUACGGCUGGUCCUGCGUGCCGGCGCGGGUGUCGAUGCCGACGCCCUGGAAGUUCAGGCUGCCGUCGGCGU
rnacentral:tRNA from 1 species